rnacentral:rRNA from 1 species
UAGGGAAUCUUCCCCAAUGGACGCAAGUCUGAUGGAGCAACGCCGCGUGAGUGAAGAAGGGUUUCGGCUCGUAAAGCUCUGUUGUUAAAGAAGAACGUGGGUGAGAGUAACUGUUCACCCAGUGACGGUAUUUAACCAGAAAGCCACGGCUAACUACGUGCCAC